CCUCUUUCUCUCUCUCUCUCUCUCUCUCUCGCACCGCCUUGUCUUCUCUCUUUCCAAAGAUUCGCGCACACACACAACAUGCAGAACUAUGCGUGCCUACGGAACGCAUCGAAUUUUAUAAAGGUUUACAAAGAUCGAAGCUCGUAAAUUCGACUCAUUUCGAAAGCGCCUGAUUUUGAGUGGUUAUGAGUGAUUUUUCACUUUUGCCAAUUGAAAGAACUAAUAUCAUUUUCGGGAGGAAAUAUUUUUCAUGGGGGAGCCUAUGGGCCGAAGAUUUGCAGUAGGCUACGCUUUGGCUUCGAAGAAACAGGCGAGCUUCAUUCAAAUUUCUCUGAUAAAUGUGGCCAAAGAGAAGAGCAUCGAUCUCAUCAAGAUCGAUUUGGAAAAGCCCUUAAUCGAACAGGGCCCCUUCGAUUUGGUCCUCCACAAAAUCUACGGUGCCGAGUGGAGGAAACAGUUGGCUGAAUACUCUGCUGUGAACCCGAAUGUUUUGAUUAUUGAUUCCCCUGAUGCAAUCGAGAGGCUUCACAAUCGCAUUUCCAUGCUGCAGGUGGUUACGGAGUUGAAUGUUGUUCAAUGUGAUACGGUGUCGUUUGGGAUCCCGAAGCAGAUUGCGGUAUACGACGCGAGGGCAGUGGGGGAGUUGAAUUUGGAGAGGGAAGGUUUGAAGUUUCCGGUGAUUGCGAAACCUUUGGUGGCGGAUGGGAGCGCUAAAUCUCAUAAGAUGUCAUUGGUGUAUAACAGGGACGGAUUGAGCAAGCUGAAGCCGCCGAUUGUGCUGCAAGAGUUUGUGAAUCAUGGAGGAGUGAUUUUCAAGGUGUAUGUUGUUGGGGAGUAUGUGAAAUGUGUGAAGAGGAAAUCGUUGCCAGAUGUGAAUGAGGAGAAUUUAGGGAGUUUAAAGUGUUCAAUGUCAUUCUCCCAAGUGUCGAAUCUGAAUAAUAUGGAGAGGUGUCAGGAUACGUACUACAAGAUGAUGGACUUGGACGAUGGCAAGACGGAGAUUCCUCCCAUGAACUUCUUGGUGGAUAUCGCCAGGGGGUUGAGGCGUGCAAUGGGAUUGCACUUGUUCAAUUUUGAUGUGAUUAGGGACACCAGGAUCGGAAAUAGAUACCUAGUCAUCGAUAUUAACUAUUUCCCCGGAUACGCAAAGAUGCCUUGCUAUGAACAUGUUUUAACGGACUUUUUCUGGGAUGUUCUGAAUGACGGGAACACUGACAAGAAAGAUGUGAAUUUGGAUGGUCUGAAGCAGAGUAGUUGCGAGCAGGAAGUCAGGAUGCUGGUUAGCAAUGCUGGAUGUGAUGAGGAUAACGGAGCUUCAAAACAUCCCAUGUCGCCUCUGAAGCGUGAAGAAAAUGAAAACCCAAUUCAAGUUUGAGAAAAUUUAUGUGGGAAUUCAUAUUCGGUAUUGCAGGAGGCAUGUGGGGACUCACCAUUGACACUUGGGGUAGUAGAAUUAGCUCAUUCUCUUGUUUGACAGAUUUAAGCAUGUCGCACAGCAUCAGUUCUAGAUAGGAGAAUUGGUGAAGUAGUUAAUAAGUAGGUUUCUUGCUUUGGAUCUGCUGCGAAACCGGCAUGAACUUGUGCUCUGUUUGGUCGUAUACCCAGUUGCUGAGACAGUUACCUUUUGGUGGAGAUAGAGAUGAACUUGGAAAGAAUCAAGAAAAACAUUCGGCAACAUGGAUAGCUAGUAUUCACAAAAAUGAGAUAAUUCAGUUAAUUGGUGCUGCAAUGGAAAGCUGGUGCCUUAUCUGGAAAAAAUGUUAUUACAUGCUUGUGAAACUUUAUACGGACAUGCUUAACUUUGGGGAUGUUCAGAGGUCAGUGAAGGUAACCUCUGCUAGAUAGCUGGCUUGGGAAGAGCUCAUUCAUGAUCCUGUUUCUGAAACAGUCGGAGAUUUCUGGUAGACUUCUGCCUACUUUUGAUUUGUUUGUUUCAUUUACAAGCAUUUUAAUAUCUUCUCUCAGAGAAGCAAACAGCGUCGAUGCAGAAUAUGACUGCUUGGUAAUGCUGAUUCAUGUUAUCCUUUGUAAUCCAGAUCACCUACCAAGAGUAUGGAUUUACUGAAUAAAAAGCAUAGUUGUCCUCUUUAUUUUAGUACU